UACGUAGGGGGCAAGCGUUGUCCGGAAUCAUUGGGCGUAAAGCGCGUGUAGGCGGCUCGGUAAGUCUGCUGUGAAAGUCCAGGGCUCAACCCUGGGAUGCCGGUGGAUACUGUCGAGCUCGAGUCCGGAAGAGGCGAGUGGAAUUCCUGGUGUAGCGGUGAAAUGCGCAGAUAUCAGGAAGAACACCCGUGGCGAAGGCGGCUCUCUGGGACGGUACUGACGCUGAGAUGCGAAAGCGUGGGGAGCGAACAGG
rnacentral:rRNA from 1 species